rnacentral:lncRNA from 9 species
GACCCCUAGCCUGGGAACUUCCACAUGCUGUGGGGGAGGGGGGGUGGGAGUGGGCAGCAAAACAAACAGACAAAAAACCAAAAACGCCUUGAGUAAGAUUACCCACCUAGCAGGUUAAAAUUGGCCUAGAGCUUUACCAUUAGUCUCGUUAGAAAUUAGAAUGGCCCUGCAAGCAGGCAUGCGAUGUCUUCUGUGAAUUUGGGUAUGAGGCUGUGCCCUGUGUCAGGUUUGAUAGAAUCCUCUCAUAAUUAUGUUCCAUACUUAAAACUGUGCUCAAGACUUCUCUUUACCCAGAAACCCCAAGACUUAAAGUCUCAAAGAUCUGGAGGCACCCGCCAGGGGAAGAUGGCCACCCUGUCCACUGGGAGAUGUUGGCUGCAUAAAGGCAUUCCAGAAGGAAGAGGGCCAGAAGGGUUGGAAGGGACUCCUUUGUCGCUGCAAAUGGCAUUAUUUCAUUCUUUUUUAUGGGUAAGAGCUAGCUGCCAACGGAAGAGAGGCAAGAUGAAAACCUGCCUGCCAGGAGGGUCUCUUUCCUCCACACCCUGAGACCCCUCCUCAUUGCCCCAGAGAGCUAUGAAGUAGUUGUCACCUGGCCAGGGCGGUUCCUGGGUGGAGCCAAGCAGGGUGAGGUAAGAAGCACACCCCCCUCUCCCCUCCUCCCCCCCUCAGCCCUCCAUUUACCAAGAGGUCUCAGGAUUCCCAUGACAGACGGGAGAAAGGAGGUUGGGUCGGCAUCCUCAGGACCACCUGGCACAUUCUCUCAAGCAGUCAGUCCUUCUACCUUUUGGCUGGAGCUUCUCUUGCUCACCAGAUUUUUUUUUUAAGUGGGUAGAGAGAGGAUUUCUGGGUUUGAGUUUGACUGAGGGUUGACUGACCUGAUUAACUUCUCUGUCCAUUUUCGGACCCCCAGCCAAACUGAUUUGAUUGCUCUUGGGCCAGUUGCCUGCCCCUGUCUCAGUCACCUGUAGCGGGGGGCAGGGUGAGGAUAGGGAUGGGCAGUCGCGGGCAUGUGGCUGCCCAGCAGCCUGUUCCACAGCGACUGCCUUGCUUUUCUUUCCUUCUUCCCACAGAAAUGGCAGAGGAAGGACUCCAGCUCAGAUCUGCCCACUCCCUCCGGGCCCCGGGGCCACUCACGUCCUCCCACCCCUACUCUGCCGCCCUCCUUCCCCCGCUUCCUGCCCUAGAGAGAAGAGAGAGUGGCUCUGCGCACCUGUCCAAGAGUUCCCCGGGUGGGCCUGUUGUAGGGACUUCAAAGCAGAGAAAGAGGCACUGAAAAACAAAACAAAACACAGAGCACUCCUGGCGCAGAUGAUUAAUAUUCAUUUAGGUCUGCCUAAAUUUGUAAUUUGCAGGGCUUCUGGGAACAGUAUCGUUUACAAAACUGGAUGAAACCCAUCAUUAUGUCCCAGAAAGCAUGACUGCCUUGGAGAGCACGCAGUGUUUCUGACUCUGGUUAGGAUCGGAGAAGCCAGGCCUGCACCUCUCUCUGCAUCCCCUCAGGAGACCCCCAGCCCUCUCAUUAGAGCCCCGAGCAGGCUUCUGAGGGGUCACCUGGAGCCCCUCUGCUUGUCAUCUAAGCAUCUACUUCUAAGCGCCCCCUUUUGCUACGCCUCUCCCCAUGACAUGCUCACAGCCUCACAUUGAAGGGCACAAGGUUCGGCCUCCCUGGACAAAGCCUUUGAUGCACAACGUGACCUCCAUGCCCUGGAGCUGCUCUUUUCCCUCUGGCCUGGAAAAUGCUUCAGAGCAAGCACAGUGAAAGUGACCUGAUCAGAAGGCAGAAGACCAGGCCAAAUAGGCUCUAGCUUCUUCCUGGGUGUAUGUCUGAAGUAUUUAAUAACUUUAAAAAUGUCAUUCCUAACUGAGGUCCUAAAACUGUUUUUUAGUGGCUGAUCAUUUGUGACAUAACUGGCAACCUUGACACCUCACUACGUGGUGAAGAAAGAUGCCGUAAAGGAUUUCUGUGCCCCGAGGACACACAGGAUAGAACAGGGCUGCAUUAAGACAUUGGAGCCCUAACACUCACACACUAGGUACUGGCAACAAAAAGAGAAUAAAUACAGUGCCUGCCCUUGGGGAACUCCCCACUAAAAUACCUCCCACUCCCAUCUCCCACCAUUGAUUAUUUAAGUUAAGCAGUGCUACAUGCCAUAAAAACAAUGAACAAAAACAUACUUCUUAAAAAAACAAACACUGCUUAUUGGUCAUCAAAGGAUGACAUGACUGAGCUCAUCAAUGAGCACAAUUUGAGGCGGGACCAGAUUCAACGUCCUUAUCUAACGUCCUUAUCCACCCACCUACUUUCCUACUAUUUGUGACUUCCUAUCUUUGUAUCUUGGAGGCUUUUGGAUCAUUUAACUCUCCUCCUAAAGAGGCAGCCCCUGAAGCUCUUGUCAACCUACACCUUAGACACCAGUAACCUCAGCUGAGUUAGGCAGAAAUAAAUAUAGUCACAGGAGAGGAUGGCAGAUAAUGUGGGUUGCCUGACCCACACUCCAUUCCCAACCUAUCUCCUACUAGUGCCUUUUCCCAUGAGACGCAAUGCUAGAUGAUAACACAUAGAUGGAACUCUGCUGUGAAGUUCUUGAUCCUUUCUCCAUUCUUCCUGUUGUGAAUAAGAAUUUGAUGGUUGGUGCUUCAGCAGCCAUCUUGCAAUCAUGAGGUAAUGAUCAAAAGAACCUUCAAGACAUUAGCCCUGAUGGCGUGGAGCUACCUAAUUAUCACUAGCAGCCAUUAGCCACCUCCAGACUUCUUAAGUGAGAAGAAUAAAUCCCUAUUGCAGCCUCUAUCACAGGUUUACCCUUAUUUUCAGUUAAAUCUCUGUUGACAAGUAUACAUAGAUAUCUGGAAAGUAGGAGGGGAGCACUGCCAUAGCUAUGCUUGCCAAGGGACCGAAAAUAGAUAUUUCUGGAGUAGUUUCUAGACUCAGACCUGCUGGAUAAAGGGCAGGGUCCUGAGUGACUCAGAUCCCUACUUUUAGACAUGGUUUUCAGGACAGCUUGGAGUCCUGGGUUCCUGGAACAUAUCUGGUGCUCAAAGAAAUACUAUUAUGAACCAAUACUGGGACUCUCAGAGUCCGGCAUCUGAGAAGUGCCCUAUCUAACAACCAGUGUGUCACUUAAAUUUUUUCUUGAAUAUCUUGAAGUGGGCUCGUUAGGCCAGAGAAAAAAUUCUUAAAAACCUUCAUUUUUUCUCAUAACUACUUCCCUCGCACACUGUGGUUCAUUUUCUCAUGCCCAAAUCCCUCAAGAGUCUGGGGGAAGGUGAGCAGAGAGUUCUAUUUUGACCCUGUCCCCUUUGGUCCCUCUUUGUGGGCAGGCUGCCAGGCAGGGCCAGGCUUUCCCUGCAGUCAGGAGAAGACUGUGCCACUAGGAAAGCCAGAGUCCUCUCUCUCUCGGUAGUGGAGGAGAUGGACAGCCUGGAGCACACCUCCGCUAGUGAUGGACCAGGAAGGGCAGGAGGGGAGGAGGGAAUGGACUCUGCUCUUCCCCUGACACGUCCCAAGCCCUGGACAGGUCACUCCCCACUGUGAGCCUCCGCCUCCUUAUCCUUCAAACUCGGCAUUCAGCCUGGAUCAUAAUAAGGGCCCUUUCCGAUUUUUCAGCGUCUAGAUUUCUCUCAUGGGUGUGUUCCUCCUACCCAAUUUCUCUUGCUCUUAAGCUUCUCCAAGGAAUUCCCAAGUCAUACAAGGAAUGUAUCUCUGAGAAGCACAGGGAGUUACUCCUGGAAAUGAAGUGUUGAGAAGAAGGCAGAGCUGGGAUCCAACCUGGGUUGUUUGGUGCCAGUGUCUGGGCUGCUCCACGGAGUCCUGCCAGGUUGGUUGGCAUCUGAGGGAGGGAGGGGGAGUGGGGGGCAGCACCUGAAGUCACUUGUUCAUCCUGUCCACAGCUCUGGGGACAGGCUGGGAAAAGUGAAAGAGACGGUAUGGUGCUGGCUUUGAUAUUGGACACUGUGGAGCCAAGUCCUGACCCCUCCACUACUGUGUGACUUUAGGGCAAUUUCCUUGAUGUCUCUGUGCCUCGGCCAUCAUCUAUAAAAUGGGGACAUGCCCAUCGGGUGGCAUUCUGGAGGACUAUGACCUAGGAAAUUGUGCAGAGCAGUGUCGGGUGCUCAGUAAGCCUCUCUCGAGCUACAAAUGGAUGGAGUAUCAGCAGAUUCCAUUCUCCGUGUUGCCCCUGCAGUCUAGGUCUCAGUUCCCAGCAGUGUCCAGCUAGAGGAGGAAAGAAAGAUGCUGCUCCUUCCGCAGCCUCUGUGGACUGCAGGGCUGAGGAGCUGUCUAGUCAAUAUGGAUGAGGUGGGCUGUGCAUCUGACUGGCCAGAGAUACAAAAUCUCUCUUGAAAAACCAAAGAGCCACAUCUUAAAGGCUUACCACACAAGCCCAAAUCCCCAGAAGAGAAAAUGCGGGGUAAAAAUAACAUUUUAGAAAAGGCAUAGGGUGGUCCACAGGGGGCCUCGUUUAUAUAACCAGUUUGUCUUGAUUAUGCUAUGUAAGCCAACUCUUGGAAAUCCCCAGAAGGCAAUUUAGGAGGAAAAUAAUAGGAGGAGGACCCCGGUGGGGGUAGGGGUGGGGGGCCGGGAAGACGUGGCUGCUCUCCCUGCACAGCUGAGGCCAGCCUGCCUGGGGCAGGGUCUCUGCGUUCAUUCAUUCCUUCCAUACUCGUGAGGUGCUUCCCAGGUGCCAGACAGGGGACAAGACAGACUAGAUCUGACCCUCAUCGAGGUCACCUUCUUCCGAGAAGAAACACUGAAUGACAGAGACUAAUACCUUGUGAACAAAUGCUGGGGGUGAUGUGGGGAAAUGGGAGGGCGAGCUCCAACACUUAAAAUGGCCAGGGGAGGCUUUUUUCUUUUCCUUCCUUUUUUCUUUUUUUCUUCCUUUUUUCUUCCUUCCUUCCUUCCUUUUCUUUCUUUUUUUUUUUUUUUUUUUUUUUGUCUUUUUAGGGCCACACCCACAGCAUAUCGAGGUUCCCAGACUAGGGGUCGAAUUGGAGCUGUGGUUACCAGCCCACGCCACAGCCAAAGCAACACGGGUUCUGAGUGGCAUCUGUGACCUACACCACAGCUCACAGUAAUGCCGGAUCCUUAACCCACUGAGUGAGGCCAGGGAUGUAACUUGCAUCCUCAUGGAUACUAGUUGGUUUGGUUUCCGCUGCACCACAGCCAGAACUCCCUAGGCCUGACUUUUCUGAGGGUGAUGCCUGGAGGAACCAGAGCUGAAAGAGAAGGAGGGCUUCUCAUGCAGAGGGAGUGGCAGGUGCCACGGCCCACAGGCAGGAAUGAGCCAGUGGCAUAGAUGUCCAUCAAGUAGAUGGGAAGAUAGAGCAGGGCAGGAGGAAUGGAAAGAGGGCCCUGGGUGGGCCUGGGAGCAGGGGCAGUGCCCCAGAUGAGGGGGCUGUGGGCAGGCUUGGGUCCCAAGAGCCUUGGAGACCAUCUAAGAUGUGAGCUAAGGCUAUGGGAGGCCUGCAGGUGGGGUGGGAACGGACCCGGAGUCAGUUACGGUCAAGGUCAGCAAACAUUUUUGGGUACCAGCUGUGGGCCGUGUUCUGAGCUAGAUGCAGGGAUGUGAACCUCUUCAGUUCUCCCAUGCCCUAACCAGGGGCUGUCUCAAGCCCUCACCUCUGCCCUCAAGCUUUUGGCAGAGGUGGACCCACUGGGGUUUACCAUCUGCAUCACAAGGAAGACAGAAGUGGGAGGCUGAGAUCCCCAGCUGCGUGUGCUCGCAUCCUGCCCUCUGGGACAGUGAGGGUGGCCGGAUUCUGUGCCUCCUCCCUCCUGCAUCCUGCACCCCUGCCUCUGCACACCACCCGCUCCCUCUGUUUUUAAUUAUCCUCAAAAUCUCUCACCUAGAAAAGCAAAGAAACAACCACAUCACCCCACUUUUGCCUCUGCUCUAUUUCCUUUUCCCUCACAGACAUAGAGGGGAAGAUUGACAAGGUCCCCUGUCCACUGUGUCUCCAUUUCCUCCCACCCCCCCCAUCCCCACCCCCCACAGGCCUAGCCACACACACAGCUCCGACAGCCCACAGCGUGAUGUGGCGGGCUCACCUCCGCGGCCUCUGACCUUCUGGAAAGCUCUUCCUGGCCAUGGCCCAGCCAUCUGCCCCCGCCUGCUUCCCCUCUGUAUUCAGCACUCCUCCUACUAUGCAUCACUCCUUCAUUGUCUCGGCCACCCAGACCUGCCACCCCUCAAAGCCUCCUAGUCCCUAGCUGCAGUCCUGGCACAUAGUAAGUGCUCACAAAAUAUUCAGUCAAUGGAUGGAUGGAAGGCACGCUCUCUGCUUUAGGGGUUUGCCUUUUAUUGAAAGAGCCAAGGGGUACACACAUCAUCACAGAGCAUAAAGUGUCAGAAGUGAUGCAGCUCUUACACAGGCGUGCUGAGGGCAGGGGCACAGUCCUGGGGCAGAGCUCACUCUGCUCGGGCAGUGACGUGUCCAGGCGGCUGCGAACUGCCUCUGGUGGCAGUGCACCAAAACGCUCCCCAGAACAGGCAGGCCGGCAGCUGGCUAAUGCUCUUCAGUACCCUGAAUGUAAAUGGAGCUGUGUCUGUGUGAAUAAAUAUCCUACAGUCCCUUGUAACACUGGAGAGAGGAGGCGGCCUGAUGGCACAGCCCAUCUGGCAGCUCCAGCCCCACCAAAGACACUUGUGCUGUCUUCUUCUCAGCACAGGUCCAGGACCCAUUCUGGUAAAAAAUAAAGUCCAUGUCACAAGUUGCGGAGUUGCUUUCAUGCCCCAGGACCCCCUGGCUUUGCCUUUCUCAGCCACAGGAUCUUAAUUCUCUGGGCCUCGAGUCCUUCACCUGCGGAAGGAGGCAUAGUAACAGCAUUUCCCUCAUGCACUUGCUGUGAGCGCUGAACGAAUUAAUCCGUGUAGUAUAGGUCUGCACUUACAACGUGCCGGCCCUCGGAAAGACCUGGAAAGCGCCAAGUGUGAGCUGUGACUGUUUUCACUACCUCUGUGAUUUGGGGCGUUUGUGAUCCUCUCUGUACAUGUGUGAACACUCUUAAUAGGAUUUGAAAAAUGCAGGCGGCUGGUUUCCUGGGGGCCAUGGAUUAGAGACGGGUACCCCUGGGAGGUGGGGUUGCCAGAUGUAGCAGAUAAAAAUGCAGGGUGCGUAGUUAAAUUUUAAUUUCAGAUAAGUGGCAACUCAUUUUUUAGUACGCAUAUGUCUCACGCAGUAUUUGCGAUAUAUUUACACUAAAAAAAGCAACACCGCCAGCAGAGUUUUCUCAGGACAUUUACCCUCUGACCCAGUGGCCCGUGGUGGUGGGAGAGGCAGGAGCGAGGGUAUAAAGCCUAAGGGCCCAUCCCGGAGGAGACUCCUGUGGCCUGAGGCCUUGGCCGUGACUUUCCCUGUGUUCCUCCCAGUGUCCCCUUAGCUGACUGAUGGGCUGAUUGACAGGGUGGGCCUGAGGCUUUGGGUGUGACUUGAGGGGCCCUGGAAGGCUCUAUCCCUCAGCAUUUCUAGCUCACAUUUCCCUGGAAGCCUGCAGGCUUCACCACCAGAGAACUGGUGCCCCCAGCUGUCUGUCCCCGGCGGUGGUGGGGGGGGCCUUCAAGGUGGAACGGCCCUGAGAGUGGCCCUGUGUACACACCCACCAAGCCACCAUCAGCCCCAGAUGGGCAGGAUCUGAGAGCCUUGCAGGGUGUGGCUAGCCAGGAGCUCUCAGGGGCUCUGGAUCACAGGUUUGAAUCUGGAUUCUUCCGCAUCCUGGAGGGAAAACUCAGCUCCACUCAUUGAAGUGUGUUUAUUCUCCAUUUUCCCACCACCCAUUACAGCCUGGCAGCCUCAGAAAUGGCUCCCAGUGACUCUUCUGCACACCUUGGUGCAGGACUAAAUGUGAUGAGCUUGUGUCACCUGCCACUGAGGGCACUGGGAGAGGGGAGAGACAGGGCUUCCCCCAGAAUGGCCUGUGGCGGAGGGAGGAGCUGGCCACUAUUUGGUGAAAGCGAAUUGGCAAGAUAGCAAGAGCUUAGAGGAGCUUUCUGGCUUCUCCCGGAUGCUUUCUGCGCCCUAAGAGGAACAUGGGCCUGGAGGGGUCAUGAGGGCAGGAAUAUGGGUGUCUCAGUGGUAAAUAGUAUAAACAGAUCAACAACAAUGGUUAUUGAGCUCUCUGUGUCUGGUGGUGGUCUCCACACCUUACAGGUAUUAAUCCACUGUCUCCUCACAGCGGCUUCUUCUGUAUCCCCACAAGCAAGCCGAGGGCGGAGGGUUUCGCUUAGGAAGCACCAGAAGGUCUACUUUGAAGCCUCAGCUUCAAAGAUCCUGGGUGAGAGGAGCGGCUUUUAUAGUGACUGAGGGUAAAUUUAUUCAAGUCGGAGGAGAUGUAGACUUGAACUUCACGCUAUUUCAGGGAAAAAAAAAAAAAAAAA